rnacentral:misc_RNA from 1 species
GAUGAAAGAACGUAGCGAAAUGCGAUACUUGGUGUGAAUUGCAGAAUCCCGUGAACCAUCGAGUUUUUGAACGCAAGUUGCGCCCGAAGCCACUAGGCCGAGGGCACGUCUGCCUGGGCGUCACACACCGUUGCCCCCCCUGAACCUCGCCAAUCCCUCUACAGGAGAGGCAGCCAGGAGGGGCGGAGAUUGGCCUCCCAUGAGCUUUUGUCUCGUGGUUGGCCUAAAUUCGAGUCAUCGGCUGCGAUCGCCGCGACAUUCGGUGGUUUUCGAUUGUAUCGGUGCCCCGUCGUGCGCGAAUCUGCAGCUGAGUGGACCAAUGCGACCCCAAUGCAUUACAUUGUAGUGCCUUAAACGCGACCCCAGGUCAGGCGGGAUUACCCGCUGAAUUUAAGCAUAUCAAUAAGCGGAGGA